rnacentral:misc_RNA from 1 species
UUAUGGUGCUGCUGUCCAGGCUGCUAUUCUGACUGGUGAGGGAAAUGAGAAGGUUCAGGACCUACUUCUGCUGGAUGUUACCCCUCUGUCUCUCGGGCUCGAGACUGCUGGAGGAGUGAUGACUGUUCUGAUCCCUAGAAACACCACCAUCCCUACCAAGAAGGAGCAGGUCUUCUCUACCUACUCUGAUAACCAGCCUGGUGUGUUGAUCCAGGUGUAUGAGGGUGAGAGAACCAGGACCCGUGACAACAAUCUUCUUGGUAAAUUUGAGCUUUCCGGCAUCCCUCCUGCUCCUAGAGGUGUCCCUCAGAUUACUGUCUGCUUUGAUAUCGAUGCCAAUGGUAUCCUGAAUGUGUCUGCUGAGGAUAAAACUACUGGGCAGAAGAACAAGAUCACCAUCACCAAUGACAAGGGCAGGCUCAGCAAGGAGGAGAUAGAGAAGAUGGUUCAAGAGGCGGAGAAGUACAAGUCUGAAGAUGAA